rnacentral:rRNA from 1 species
AACGAACGCUGGCGGCAGGCUUAACACAUGCAAGUCGAACGCUCCGCAAGGAGAGUGGCAGACGGGUGAGUAACACGUGGGAACGUACCCUUUACUACGGAACAACUCCGGGAAACUGGAGCUAAUACCGUAUGUGCCCUUUGGGGGAAAGAUUUAUCGGUAAAGGAUCGGCCCGCGUUGGAUUAGCUAGUUGGUGAGGUAAAGGCCUACCAAGGCGACGAUCCAUAACUGGUCUGAGAGGAUGAUCAGCAACAUUGGGACUGAGACACGGCCCAAACUCCUACGGGAGGCAGCAGUGGGGAAUAUUGGACAGUGGGCGCAAGCCUGAUCCAGCCAUGCCGCGUGUGUGAUGAAGGCCUUAGGGUUGUAAAGCACUUUCACCGGAGAAGAUAAUGACGGUAUCCGGAGAAGAAGCCCCGGCUAACUUCGUGCCAGCAGCCGCGGUAA